rnacentral:rRNA from 1 species
CCGGCGAGUGGCGAACGGGUGAGUAAAGUAUCGGAACGUACCUUUCAGUGGGGGAUAACGUAGCGAAAGUUACGCUAAUACCGCAUAUUCUGUGAGCAGGAAAGCAGGGGAUCGCAAGACCUUGCGCUGAUUGAGCGGCCGAUAUCAGAUUAGCUAGUUGGUGGGGUAAAGGCCUACCAAGGCGACGAUCUGUAGCGGGUCUGAGAGGAUGAUCCGCCACACUGGGACUGAGACACGGCCCAGACUCCUACGGGAGGCAGCAGUGGGGAAUUUUGGACAAUGGGCGCAAGCCUGAUCCAGCCAUGCCGCGUGAGUGAAGAAGGCCUUCGGGUUGUAAAGCUCUUUCGGCCGGGAAGAAAUCGCAUGGGCUAAUACCCUGUGUGGAUGACGGUACCGGAAUAAGAAGCACCGGCUAACUACGUGCCAGCAGCCGCGGUAAUACGUAGGGGGCGAGCGUUGUUCGGAUUUACUGGGCGUAAAGAGCGCGUAGGCGGUUCGAUAAGUCGGAGGUGAAAUCCCUCGGCUUAACCGAGGACCCGCGUCCGAUACUGUCGAACUUGAGUGCAGGAGAGGAGAGCGGAAUUCCC